rnacentral:lncRNA from 1 species
UGUCUAAUUACCUGUUCCAAACUAGUGUAGUCAUCAUCUAUCCUUGAAUAUUUCCUCUCAAGCCGUCUCCUCGAUUCCUGGGGUGGAGGUGCAGGUGCAUAAUUGUAACUUGGUUGAGGUGCAUAAUUGUAACUUGGUUGAGGGUACUGCGAGUGUGGACUGCCAUAAUUACCCCAUGAAUUUGAACUGGAACUGUAAGAUGAGUAUCGACCAGAAGUUGAGCUCUUCGAACUCUUGCCACCCAUUAACUUUAGGAAUUAAUAAUAUCAGUCUGCAGAAAAUAAUAUAUGCUUGCAUAAGAAACAAAAACCAUGUAAAAAGUUGUAGGCAUCUUUGUGUUAUUCAACGUGUAAGCAUCUAAAAUCUAAAGGAGUUAUUAAACGGUUAGCUCAAUUCCAUAGACACUUGUUGGGGCAAAAGGUAAAUAAUGGAAGCAUGGAUGAACCAUGGAUGCAGAUUCAACACAAGCAAUUAAAUUCUAAAUUUA